GAUAAAUUUGUCGAAAUUGUUUAGGUUCUUUAGAAAUCAGGCCAUAGGCUGUUCUGGAGGAAACAGAUACUGGUUAAUUGAUUACAAAAAAGUUGGACUUUCUUCGGUGAGACCCGUUAUUUUAAAUUUGUCGAAAUUUGUUAGGUGCUGAAUCUGUCAGGCCUGUCAGUGAUUGUAAAUAUAAGACGUCUUUGUAAUAUAAAAUAAUAGAGUUUUGUCUGAGCUUUGUGUGACCCUGUGUGUGACGUGCAGCUGCAGCGCUGCGAGCUAUUUUUAGACGGUGUGUGAACAUGCAAAUGAGCUGUGACGCGCACAGAGGACUUUUGUUGCUGUUUAGCGUGUUUUUGAGUUUUAUAAUUUUGAUUUGCAAACAAUGAUACAUGCCUGUAAGUAAAACGCUGAUUUUGCUGAUUAUGAUACUACAAAUAAGGUGUUGAAUGACUAGGGUGUGAAUGAUGUUGGAGUUUAAAGCUGAAACUCAGAGAGGAGUGUGUUGGGAGACUGGCAUGUAGUCUGCAGUGCAAAGGUGGGCGUCUUGCCUGCUAGUCUAUUUAACAGUAAUGAAAAUGAUAUUAAAUAAAUCUCUCAGUGUGUUGAUACAGGUGGCUAUGGGGCUGGACCAACUGCCCCCACAAGCACGGCGGCCGAAGCAAAAUUAUAGUAAUGGACACAAAAUCAGCAAGAAUCAGCAGCUGUGGAAAAGACAGCAGCUAGCAGAGAAUUAAAGGAGAAAUUAACAGAAGUUUUACACAUAAAAUUGCGGCCAACACACUUGUGGAGGUUGGGAAGGCGCCUGGAGCAUCACAACAAGAAGGUGAAACAAAAACACACACAAGCAGAGAAAUGUGAGAGAGAGGCACGUGCUAGAGAAAUGCCUCGUUUGAGAAAAAAACGUUAAAUUAGCCCAUGUACAAACGCACAUACACGCAAUGAAGAAACAGCUUACACCCAUGAACACGUGAAGAUUUUCCAGCAAGUUUAAAGCAGUGAAACUUAACAUACACCCGCCGUUACACAAUAAAGUUUAUCCACUACUAACAAAUAAACCCUCUGGGUUGCAGGAUAACAACUUAACUUCAAAAAAAAAAAAAAAAAAUCACAACCAGUGAUUACACGACAAAUUUAGUGGUUAAUAAAAGUCAAAUUGUGACUGAAUGAAAGAAAAUUCCAUUUUUGUGCUUUAAACAUGAUCUUAAGAAUUUUAACAUGUACCUGUGUUGUCCUGUCAGCUUGGUGGGUUAUGAGAGGAUUAUAUGGUGAAAAAAAAAAAAAAAAAAAGGGGGAGAGAAGGCUGACACAGGGCCUGGCCCCGUUGUUUUUCCCCUCUCUGAGUAACACAGCCAAUACAACAUGAUUUUCCUGUUCGUUUGUUUUUGUUUUUGUUUUGUUUUGUUUUUUUCUCUUUAUGCUUGAUUACAGGCUGCUUUGUCGGCCCGGAAAAGCCGAGGCUGACCCUGGACUCCUGCUCUCCCCUCUACCAUCUUUGCUCUCUCCUCUACCAUCUUUGAUGUGACCCUGACUAAAUGCUAAAGCAGCUGAACCCGCAACAAC
ensembl:lncRNA